AGCAGCCGCGGUAAUUCCAGCUCCAAUAGCGUAUAUUAAAGUUGUUGCAGUUAAAAAGCUCGUAGUUGAAUUUCGGGGUCAGCGGGCUGGUCGUGCCUAUGGUAUGCACUGGCCUCGCUGAUUCCUCCUUCUUGAAGAACUGCAAUGUCAUUAAUUUGGUGUUGCAGGGAAUCAGGACUGUUACUUUGAAAAAAUUAGAGUGUUUAAAGCAGGCGAUCGCUUGAAUACAUUAGCAUGGAAUAAUGAAAUAGGACGAUCGAUCCUAUUUUGUUGGUUUCUAGGAUUGACGUAAUGAUUAAUAGGGAUAGUUGGGGGCAUUAGUAUUCAAUUGUCAGAGGUGAAAAUUCUUGGAUUUUAUUGAAGACUAACUACUGCGAAAGCAUUUGCCAAGGAUGUUUUCAUUAAUCAAGAACGAAAGUUAGGGGAUCGAAGACGAUCAGAUACCGUCGUAGUCUUAACCAUAAACUAUGCCGACUAGGGAUCGGAUGAUGUUAAUUUUUUAAUGUA
rnacentral:rRNA from 1 species